AGUAAUGAUUCUCACUGUGGAGUCAUUUGAUUAUUAAGACCCGUUGGCAUAAGAUUCCAUCCUCUGACUAUAAAAAUCCUGGAAGAAAACCUAGGAAAUAUUCGUCUGGACAUUGCACUUGGCAAUGAAUUUAUGGAAUUUCUGGUUUUUCCUGUUGGAGCCCAAGGAGCAAGGGCAGAAUGAGGAACAUGAUGUUUCUUACCGACAGUUACUCAUGACGUCUCCAUCCAGGACUGAGGGGGGCAUCCUUCUCCAUCUAGGACUGGGGGCAUCCUUCUCCAUCCAGUAUUGGGGGUCUUCCUCCUCCAUCCAGGACUUGGGGGUCAUCCUCCUCCAUCCAGGACCUGAGGGGUGUCCUUUUCUGCGCUUCCUUGGAUGGCAGUCUUUCCCUUCAUGUUUAUAGUGACUUACCAUUAAAUCACUGUGCCGUUUUUUCCUAAAA